AGACUGCUGGUUUAAAAAAGAGAGGUCCAUCCAGCAGGGAUGAUGCUUUUCCUCGUUGAAAGAGGACAUUCACCUAAUGGGAGACCUGGAGUCAGAAUCUUUCUGAUGUGUGACUUGGCACAGUAACACAAUGCAGGAUGCUGGUGUGUUAAUAAAAAUAAAAAUUGCAUCGCCUACCUCAGAGUCGACAACAAUGUCAAGGAGUUAAUAGUCUUGGCAACACAGAGGCCACUGGACAGAGGCAUAACCUUGCGUGGCAGCUGCACGGGAAUUGGAUUUGGCUCAGGUGUUUCAGAUGACUAAGAACAAAGGGGACCACUCUUGGUAUAGAAGUUCAUCUCGUCGGGAGCAUCUGUGGUUCUUUUAUAAGCAAUGUACAUUCUACAAUAGAGGCAGACCCAGAAAUAAUUCAGAUAUUGGAGUUAGAAGAUCAGGAUUCUAAAAAAACCAAAAGAUCCUGCCUUACUAUGCACCUAUGGCCCUUCAAAGGCGAGAGUAGAAUCUGCUAUGAUUUAGAAGCAAGCAAUAAAAAGUACACAUCAGGUGAGUGGAUGCUAGCUAAGACCUUGGGCUUUGGGGUCAGACAGGCCUGGGUUUAAAUCCUGGCCCUGUCAUUCUGGGGAAACAUGUUUCUGCUUUCUCCUAUAUGAAAUAGAGGCAGUGGGUAUCCUGAACAUGUCACCUUUACUUGUCCAGCUUGUCAGUUAGGGUUUGGUUAGGGAAACAGAGCUGCUGUAAACAUUAUGGGAAUAAGGGAUUUUAUUCAGAAUUGGAGCCUGCACAGAUGUAGAAGGAGGCAUGAAGAGGGUAUUGGAGGAUUGCCCACUAUGCAGUCUGCAUCCUGAGUCUGUGGUGAGGCUGGACACGUUCAAGCUUACAGGAGAACUGGAGAAAGCAAGCAACACAGCGGUGGAAGUGAGACCACUGAAGGUAAGCUUGGGAGGGGGUCCCGACACCACCACAUCAGUGGAUCCACAGCUAAGUGAUUGGUGGUGGCCUGGGGUUCUGCUGUUUAGCAGGGACAAGAGUGGAGGAGACAAACUGGACUCGGAACAAACUGGGAGCCUCUGCAUCCAUCCGUAACUGUCUGGCCGUGACAGUGGUUAGAGAGGAGUGGCUUCUGUGAAACUCUCACAAUCUCAAAUCUCCCACAAGUGCCUCUUUCAGCUAACUCUAAACUGGUACCAUAGAGGAAAUGGAUUCUGAAAACUUGGUCUCCAACCUUAGACAAAUUGAAUAAUUAAUAUGUCCUCUCCUGCUUCUUCUGUAACUGAAUUUGCAUUGGGAAGCAGGCCUGUCACUCUCAGACUUUGUGGUUUGAGUAGGGCUCACUUCAGCACCACCUUUUCCUCUUCUCAGCCCCACGGACUGGCAUGAGACUCAGGCCUGGCCAACUGAAUGUCACACACCUAUGACCAUCAGUUGGCUCAGAGAUGGACUCAGGACACCAUCACAGCCAAUGAAACCCUGUUAGGGAAAUUUGUCAGAACCAUACAAAGAAAUAGCUCCACUUUUCCAUAGAGAUGAGACAUAAGCCUGGACUAACUGGUGUCCAAUUUGCCAUCAAGAGAGCAUCUGAGAAGACAGAGGAAAACUGGGGAAAGCGAAGUCUAAGGAAGGUGAGUAAGGACAAGUCCAGUUGAUAUUACAUGAAUCACCUGGACCUGGAAAUCAAGGCAUUGCUGGAUUCAAGGCCAAGAAAAAUUGGAAGCUGGCUUGAAUCAGGUUCUAUCACUUGCAGUUGAAAAGGUCCAGACUAAUAUGAUAACAAAGGAGCAAGUAAGCAAGAUUCUGCCCUACAGUAAGUGCUCAAUGCAUGUCAGCUGGUAUUAUUAUUAUACAGACUUCUAUUUCUAGCCCUUUUAUUUCUACCACCUCUCUUCUGUGUUUUAUGUAAAGUGCAUAAGGAUUGUUCUGUUUGGAAACAUCAAACCAUAUAAAAUGACACCAGCAGGUCCCUUUCUGUCUGUCAGUGUCCACAAGCUCAACAACCAGGAUCAGCAGACAAAAACAGCUAAGCUGGAGUCAGUGUUUUUAUGAAGAAACAGGAAAAGAACUUACUUGGGAACUGUAGCUCAUCCUCCAAUAUUCUCCAUCCUAUCACUCUUUUCAUGACAGUUUCUUCUUGGCCCUGAAGUUGCCUUGUCAUGGCUCCCUGCCUCUGUCCUUUCUCUGUCUCACUUACAUCUUCCAAUGAGGAAUACAGCAAGACCUUUGGAUGAGGACCUCCAAAGGUCCUCAGUAUCCUUAGGACACUCGGUGCAGAACUAGAGGGACUGAGAGGAGGAGCUUUUGCAGGUUAAAUGACUAGUGAAUGGCCUUUCCUUAUAUUUCCAUUAGAAAUGGGAUUAGCUACACCUGAGAAGGAAUGACUUUGGAACAACUGAUCCCUAGCUUUCCAAAAUAUGAGAAAUUGAGAUGCAGGGAGUAGUAAGCACCUAGUUAAUGAGUCAAAGCAUAUUUAUAAAGUUCACAGGGUACAUAGCAUAUAGCAGCUGUUCUCUAUCUCAGUUGAGUUUUGACUAGGAAAUGGGCUUAGGAUAAAACACAUAGGCUUUUGAGUAAUCAUUUGUAAGAAAUUGUAGAUAGUGACCACAGUUUAAUAGCAUUAGAUAAAUUAUGAAAAGUCACUGAAAUACCUUCUCUGGAAAAUGUUAGAAGCUCAAGUACAAUGGCUUAGUUAAAGGCAGGUGGGGGAGAAACUUGAAGAAUGUGGUCCAGUACAAGAAUACCCCAUUUUUCCCCUAAGGCAAUGAAAAUGACAUGAAGUAAUCAUAGUUAUUUAUACAGGAACAAUUUAGGAGACUUAGAAUAUUCACUUCUUUUGCCUUCUAGCUGAGCAUCAAAAUUCUCUCUCUGUCUCUGCCUCUCUCUCUCUAUUUUCCACUUCUAGCUCCAACUAUUUUAAAUCCCUCCCCCAAUAGAACUCAUAACAAACAUAAAACAACAUUUGUUGUAUGUUUACAAUAGAUGUUCAAGCUAAUAUUUAUGUAGGCUUAGCCCUGGCAUUAAAUUAAGGUUUGGUUCACCAACAGGGUGCCUAGAGACUUCACCUCUAUUUCCAUGAGGGACUGAACAGCCUCUUGAGAAGGGACUCAUCAAAAUGGAAGAGUUGGCAAUAAGAAGUUUGGCUAAAUAACCAAGCACUGAAGUUGCAGAGGAGAAAGGAUUUGAAAGGCAGUACAGUGUCCAGGGGCAAGUUGGCAAUUUUUAGCAGGAGGUGAAGUGAUGCCAGCAGAGGUAACAGUGCUCAGAGGGACCAGUAGUCCCCAGGAGGAGCAGGGGAAUCCCCAGUGGAUCUGAUUUGUUCAAGAGCACAUGUGAGAUUAUCAGCUGGCGUUACAAUUUUGGAGUGGCAGUGAGAAGCAGUGAAUUUGAGGUCACUCAAUUUGCAGACCCCAAAGGGUGAAAUGUUGAGAAACAUGAGUUACACAUGUAUUUAACAGCUCUUGUGUAUUAUCACAAAUCCUAUUUCACCUCUCAUGCCCCCGAGGCUUUGGUGUCCAGUUCUCUGAAGACUUCAUCAAUCCUCAGCCAUAAAUCACCUGAGAGCAACUCACCUUGCUUCAUACUAUGAAGCUCCCUGAUGUCACAGCAUGGCAGGCCUGUGGCAACCCCUCAACACUUAUGCAUGAUCCCAAACAGCUAGAGGAUUAACACCUACGGUGUAACCCUUGACCAGCAGGAAAUGGAAAUUACUGUCUUUUUGUCCCCGCAGGUGAAUGGUUCUAAAAUGCAUUUUAUAAGCCUUCUGAAAUAGUCCCACAGGUCAAGCACCUACUUGCUCCAGUGGUGACCAACUCAAUGAUGCAUCCUUGGGUUGACUCUCCCUCCUUUCCAGUUCACUUUCCCCGCCCCUCACUCCUGCACCUCAGCAUCACAUUCCUGAAUAAACCACUCACACAUCUGUCUUAUUUCAGACUCUGUUUGGGGGAAUCCACAAUAAAAAUUUGUCAUUUUGAGUUAAACAUUGCUCUCACCUUGAAGACAUAUUUCCAUACCUAGAGAUUUCUGAAGUUCUCUCCCUUUUCCUAUCAUCUCCUUUGUGCUUUGUCUGACCUCCAUGUUACAGAGCCCCAUGAUAUUUAGAGCCAGUACUGCUAGGGAAGUAGUUCAGUUGUGUUUUAAAUGGUUCAGCAACUUGUAACAUCAACUGAGAACCAGAGGAAUACACUUGGAGGCCAAGAAAAAAAUGUUAGCUAAUAUGUACCAUACAGUAUGAUUCCUUGGGUAAGGGAAAGUAUAUGCAAGUGACAGAGGAAAAUUGAAAGUUGUAGCCCUUUUUUGGACUUUAGAUUUGGAAUUAAAGUUUCUCUUCUCUUGAAAGACCUUCUUUUUGUGGAUAAUGAUGAAUCUGAAGACCAGAACAGUGGGCCAAUUUGCCUUAGUUGAGAGUGGCAAAUAAAUGAAGAACUGAAGAACGUAUCUCUUUAACUAGUGCUCCUUUGUUGAGAAGAUACAAAACAAACAAUUGAAGGGUAUGGAUGAAGCCAUUGGCUUAUUCAUGUCUCUGUUGAUCAUAAUGAGAUUAAUAUAUAUAGGACAUUCACACAAAGAGGAUAUUGACUCGAUGGCUUACAGAUUAUUAGAGUUAGAAAUGUGACCUACUACUAAAGGAAGAAUGUUUCAGGUGUGGAUCUCUGAUUUAAAAAAUACACCACACUUGCCUCAGUGAAGCAAGUCAACUUAGGUGCUGAUACAAUGCCACUGCAGCUGUGCUGAGUUCAUGAAAUCAGAUCCCACUCUCUUCACCUACCCCUACCGUAUUCAUCCUACUUUCCGUCUGCUCUGCCCUUCCCAUUUGGUAACCUAGUCAUGAAACACCUGGCUCUGGGUCCUUCCUUCAGCAUCACUCCACGUUGUACUGCUGGCAUCGCUUUUCUUGGCACAGAACCUCUUAGGGCUGCUAUCCUAGGAGUAGGUGCUACUCAGGCUGGCUUAGUCCCAGGCUUCACUCACUUCUUGGCCCAUGGCCAGGAGGACCGGAAAGAACAAACUCUCUGCACAUCUCUGCAGGUGGCCACAGAGCCCCCAUCUGAGCCUUGCUGAUGGAGAAGAGCAUGCUGCAUCACAAGAUAACUGUGUGGCUCUGUUCAAAAACCUUGUUUAGAAGUUAUUAUUUCUUUUAUUGCAUUAGAAUUUGCCUCACUGUAGCUUUUGUGCUUCUGUCCUGGUUCAGCCUUAGAUAGCAGUGCAGCCUGGUCCAUGUGAAAGCUCUUGCAAUAGGCCUUUCUGCUAGUCAGGAGUUCUCAGACCC
rnacentral:lncRNA from 1 species